rnacentral:lncRNA from 1 species
AUUUUUACUUUUGAGAAAUAUUUUUCCUGCAUGGCUAUAAUUUUGAUGAACAGAUGAGAAAAGAUAAGCAAGCAGGAACACCAGGUCUGGUCCAGAUAAUAUUCUCCAGUGCAGCAUCACCCUGUGGGAGGCCUAAAUUCUGCAUGCAGACACAACCCAAGAGGACCAAGCACGAGGUGGAUGAGGGGACAACUGUUGACAGCUACAGAGAAGUCUGGAUUUUGUUUCCGGUCACUAGGCUGUGAAAUCCAAAUCUAGCAUGAAAGAAACCACCAAGACUGAAAGCUUGCAACAAACGUGGUUCCUUGAAACAUCUCAUGACCUCAUCUUCAAAAAAAUAUUCUAUACCAUUUCAUCAAAUUGUCAUCAG